UACACAUUUUAGAUAGAACUACUCACCAGCAUUAGACAAAUGGAGUUGCUACUGUUCUUAGACAAAGAGAAGUGUAGGUCCCAGAUGCAGGAGCCCGCUGCUGAUCUUGAUGGAGCCCCUGCUGUAGAAAAAUACCUUUUCUAGCUUCAAUUGAAUUCUUCUCCAUGGCUGAACCACCAAUGCUGUUAGCAGAAACAACUCCAUUCAAUCCAUUUCUCAGGCCACUGGGAUUGUUGCCUGCCAGAGAAACUACUUCCUUUGAUUCUUCAUCUGUUCUCAAUUGGUCACGCUGCAUUGAAAUCCUUUCCUUUCUCUCUGAAUUUUUUAAAUCCCAAAUAAGACGACUUAUGUGAACAUAUGAGCUGCACAUCUUUUCCAUGAUUGCUUUUUAA
rnacentral:lncRNA from 1 species